rnacentral:misc_RNA from 1 species
UCGUAACAAGGUUUCCGUAGGUGAACCUGCGGAAGGAUCAUUAAAGAGUUAGGGUCUUCUCAGGCCCGACCUCCCAACCCUUUGUCUAUUGAACCCUUGUUGCUUCGGCGGGCCCGUCGUUAUACGGCCGCCGGAGGACCGACUCCAGGUCCUCUGGCCCGCGCCCGCCGGUAGCCAAAAUCACCAAACUCUUGAAUAAUCGUGUCUAUGAUGUCUGAGUACUUUUAUUAAAAUUAAGCAAAACUUUCAACAACGGAUCUCUUGGUUCUGGCAUCGAUGAAGAACGCAGCGAAAUGCGAUAAGUAAUGCGAAUUGCAGAAUUCCAGUGAGUCAUCGAAUCUUUGAACGCACAUUGCGCCCUUUGGUAUUCCGAAGGGCAUGCCUGUUCGAGCGUCAUUAUCACCCCUCAAGCCCUCCGGCUUGGUGUUGGACGGUCUGGUCGAGCUGCUCGACCCCUCCCAAAGACAAUGACGGCGGCCUGGUUGGACCCCCGGUACAUGGAGCUUCUUGAUUGAGCACGUAUCGGUUUCAAGGCGUCCCCGGGACCCGGUCUCACUCUCUCCCCUCGCGGGAGGGAACCCCCCUUUUUUCUAAGGUUGACCUCGGAUCAGGUAGGAAUACCCGCUGAACUUAAGCAUAUC